CGCUGGAGGGGCCUCCCAGGACCCCGGGCAGGGGCAGGUCCUUCAGCAGCUCGCUGGUGAUCACCUUGUCUGGGGACACCUGGGGUCACCUGGGCUCAGGGACCCUCACCUGGGCUCACCUGGGCUCAGAGACCCUCACCUGGGCACAGGGACCCUCACCUGGGCUCAGGGACCCUCACCUGGGCUCACCUGGGCACAGGGACCCUCACCUGGGCUCACCUGGGCUCAGGGACCCUCACCUGGGCUCAGGGACCCUCACCUGGGCUCACCUGGGCUCAGGGACCCUCACCUGGGCUCACCUGGGCUCAGGGACCCUCACCUGGGCUCACCUGGGCACAGGGACCCUCACCUGGGCACAGGAACCCCCACCUGGGCUCAGGGACCCUCACCUGGGCUCACCCGGGCACAGGGACCCUCACCUGGGCUCACCUGGGCUCAGGUACAGCCUCACCUGGGCAAGUCACCCCAGGCUUGCCCAGCCCCUGGAGCAGCUCUCUGUCCCCAAGGCCACAGAGGUGCCACCAAGGACAGGUGGGACAGGUGCCACAGGUGUGACAGGUGCCACCAAUGACAGGUGGGACAGGUGCCACAGGUGGGACAGGUGCCACCAAUGACAGGUGGGACAGGUGCCACAGGUGGGACAGGUGCCACCCCUGACAAGUGUUCCAGGUGUGACAGGUGUCCCAGGUAUCACACCUGACAGGUACCACAGUGUGACAGGUGCCACCCCACCAGGUGUCCCAGGUGUCCCAGGUCCCACAGGUGCCACCCCUCCAGGUGUCCCAGGUGCCACCCCUCCAGGUGUCCCAGGUGUGACAGGUCCCACAGGUUGCCAUCCCACCAGGUGUCCCAGGUCCCACAGGUGCCACCCCACCAGGUGUCCCAGGUGUGACAGGUCCCACAGGUGCCACCCCACCAGGUGUGACAGGUCCCACAGGUGCCACCCCUCCAGGUGUCCCAGGUGUGACAGGUCCCACAGGUGCCACCCCACCAGGUGUCCCAGGUGUCACUCACCAUCCUCUCCUCCUUCCUCCUCCACCUGGU